rnacentral:lncRNA from 1 species
AGAUAAGCAUUUAAUUCUGACAGAAACAAAAUUUUCUCUCCAUUAUGUCUUUUUAUUUUUAACAUCAUCUCUCAGUGACCUGGAGGUCAAAGACCACUGAAUAAAUUCAGGUAUAGAUAAAACCUGAGAGAAGGGAAGUUAAAGAACCGAGGAACCAACAAGAAGGGAAACCGAUUCCACAGGCAAUGCCUCCCUGGGCAGUCCAGGCAAAUUAAGAAACUAUGGUUGGAAAGACACAGUACCUCAUUAGGAAAAUGAACUGGAGAAGAAAAUAGCCAAACACCAUAGCAUCUUUGCCAAGAAAACCUUAAAUGGGAUCACAAAGAAUUGAAUGCCACUGAAAUGACUCAACAACAACACAAAGAUAUGCUUUACAGACAUCGCAUUUAAUGUCUUCACCAACUUUGUGAGGUAGGUAGGUGUGGUUAUUAUCCCCAUUGUAAACUUCAAAAAUUAAUAUUCAAUACC